UAGUUUUAAACUUACUAUUUUAGGAAAGUUAGUUGAAAGGUGGUUAAGCAAGGUUGUCAGUGGAGUUAGUUACACAUGCUUAUCACCUAUAUAACCUUUCAUAUUGUAUCUUUUGAUGGAGUUUCUAUGGCUUUUUGUUCAAAUUUCAUAGCUUAAUCAUGAGCAAUUUUAGUUCUUAACAUGGUAUCACACGCCAUAUCGAUCUACCUAUUCUUCUU
rnacentral:lncRNA from 1 species